UUUGGGGGAGAGGCAAAGAGGAGCCCUCAGGGCUGGAGACCCCCAAUGCCAGUGUCCCACUGCCUGUUGGAAGGGAACGGGGUGGGAAGAGGGGCCCAGGCUCCUGGGAAACCUGUCUGUCUGUCCUGGGGCCUGCCAUCCCUCCCUCCGAGCCUUGGCCUGUUAGCCCCAGCUGGGUCCAUUCUCUAGUCCCAGGGGAACAGGCCCUGCCCCUCAUCUGCUCACAGCCCCCCAUGGCUCCCCAGUGGCCUGAGACAGGUCCCGGCCCUCACCUGGUGCACAGGACCUGCAGAGUCUGCCUCAACUGGCAAGGCAUGACCAGGACACGUGGUUACCAGGCAGGGCCUUCCAGCCGCAGGACGAUCCCAACCCCUGCCCAGCUCCCCGCUCCGCUGGCUUCCCUGCCGCCGCGCCAAGACCCACCCUCCAGCCCUGCAGAGCCGCCCAGUGGCCGCUUUUCCAUGGAGCCCUGGUGGGAACCCGCCCGGCAUCCUCCGGGCUCCCCUGCAGCUCCUUGCUCCAGCCAUCGCAUCACACUCCGCCCACACCAAGUCUGGCUGCCCAACCAGGGCAGUGGGGUCUAAUCCCCCUCUGUCCCCAGAGGGGCUGUGCUUGGCUGGCACACCUGCUUGCGGGUGGUGAUGACCUGCCGGAUGGCACUGACGAAGCCGCUCUGGUCGUAGGGGAUGAGGCCCAUGAAGAUCUUCUUCUUGGACGAGUACAGGAGCAUGAGCACGCGCACCUCACAGGGGGAGAUGUGGGGGAACAGCAUGCAGCCCGCCUGCGGGGGCCGCGGGUCAGGACCCUGUGGUCACUGCCCGGGGCCACUGUGCCCCCACCACCCUGGACCGCCCCACCUGUAGGGGAUGAAGGGAGAUCAUCGGUGGACAGAGGCCCCCACAGUCAAGGCCAUGGCCAUAGGUGAGGGGCCUCUGAGAGCCCGUGCAGCGCCCAUCGGCAUCCCCCGACCCUGCCAUGGCUGAGGUCAGAGUGGCACCCGGCACCCAGGCUGCGGUGAGAAUGCCAAGAAGGCACUACCUCCCACCCACAUCACCCCCUGCCGCCAGCCCUCCUGACUGCCUGAUGGGGUGACUUGGCCUGGGGGUUAAGAGCACAGGCAGCGCCCCACCGUUCUGCUGCCUCCUAGCUGUGUGACCUAACACCAGCCACCUCCUGCUUCUGGGCCUCCAUCAUCUGUAAAACCGGGUAAUAGUGCACACAGUUGGUGCCACAUAAAGGCUCAACAGAUAAAGUGCUGGUGCCUCUUGAGGAUGGCGCAUGGGAGAACUA
rnacentral:lncRNA from 1 species